AAUCUUGUGAUGAAGAGCCGAAGUAGUAGAGAUUGUCCCUGUGAUAGAGAGCUGGCGUUGGUGGAAGUCAGUACACACAUUCUUUGCGAAUUACAGCUUGGAGCAACUACAUAUUGUAGCGUUUUAGCCUUGCGUUAAAAGGAAAAGUGGAAUAAUGCAUCUCGUUAUUCAAUUAGGGUGGUAACACGGAAAAUUCGUCCCGGCA
rnacentral:ncRNA from 1 species